GAUUAACGCUGGCGGCGUGCUUAACACAUGCAAGUCGAACGGGGUAUGAACUUUAAGUUUCAUACUUAGUGGCGGACGGGUGAGUAACGCGUGGGCAACCUGCCCUGUACCGGGGGACAACAGCUGGAAACGGCUGCUAAUACCGCAUAAGCGCACGGCACCGCAUGGUGCAGUGUGAAAAGAUUUAUCAGUACAGGAUGGGCCCGCGUCUGAUUAGCCAGUUGGCAGGGUAACGGCCUACCAAAGCGACGAUCAGUAGCCGAUCUGAGAGGAUGAGCGGCCACAUUGGGACUGAGACACGGCCCAAACUCC
rnacentral:rRNA from 1 species